AUACGUAGGGUGCAAGCGUUAAUCGGAAUUACUGGGCGUAAAGCGUGCGCAGGCGGUUCGGAAAGAAGGAUGUGAAAUCCCAGGGCUCAACCUUGGAACUGCAUUCUUAACUACCGAACUAGAGUAUGUCAGAGGGGGGUAGAAUUCCGCGUGUAGCAGUGAAAUGCGUAGAUAUGCGGAGGAAUACCGAUGGCGAAGGCAGCCCCCUGGGAUAAUACUGACGCUCAUGCACGAAAGCGUGGGGAGCAAACAGGAUUAGAUACCCUGGUAGUCCACGCCCUAAACGAUGUCAACUAGCUGUUGGGCCCUUCGGGGCUUAGUAGCGUAGCUAACGCGUGAAGUUGACCGCCUGGGGAGUACGGUCGCAAGAUUAAAACUCAAAGGAAUUUACGGGG
rnacentral:rRNA from 1 species